rnacentral:rRNA from 1 species
AGAGAGAGACAUGCGCGCAUAUCAAUAAGCGGAGGAAAAGAAACUAACAAGGAUUCCCUUAGUAACGGCGAGUGAAGCGGGAAGAGCUCAAAUUUGAAAUCUUCAAGGUUUUACCUUGACGAAUUGUAGUUUAAAGAAGUGUUUUCUGCUGAAGUUUUGGUAAAAGUUCUUUGGAAUAGGACAUCAUAGAGGGUGAGAAUCCCGUAUUUGACCAUUAUUUUCAGCUUUGUGAUACACUUUCAAAGAGUCGGAUUGUUUGGGAAUGCAGUCCAAAAUGGGUGGUAAAUUUCAUCUAAAGCUAAAUAUUGGCGAGAGACCGAUAGGCGAACAUGUACCGUGAGGGAAAGAUGAAAAGAACUUUGAAAAGAGAGUUAAACAGUACGUGAAAUUGUCAAAAGGGAAGCGUUUGACACCAGUGUUGUUUUCUCGAAAAUCAAUUAAAAAUGGCUCGAUUUUGUAUUGUUGAGACCUUAAAAGCUCACUGUACAUUUUUCGUGUCUUUUUUAAUGCACUUUUCGUUUAACAAGUCGAACAUCAGUUUCUUUUGUUGUAAAAGGGUCAUUGGAAGGUGGCUUUCUUUUCGGAGAAAGUGUUUAUAGCCUUUGGCCUCUGCAAUCGGAGAGACUGAGGUCUGCAGCGUAGACUCUUCGGGGUUAGAUACAUUUGUGCUAAGUUAUAGCUUUUUAUAGACAACAUUGUUGACUAUAAUUAGUCUUGUAGCUUACUCGCUUAUGCUAUUUUACCUACGCUUAGGAUGUUGAAGAUGUAGCACAUCAU